rnacentral:rRNA from 1 species
GACGAACGCUGGCGGCGUGCCUAAUACAUGCAAGUCGAACGGAAAGGCCCUGCUUUUGUGGGGUGCUCGAGUGGCGAACGGGUGAGUAACAGGGAAGUAAGCUGAGCUAAACUGUGGGGUAACUUGAGGAAACUAGGGGUAACAACGGCUAGGAGCUCAUGCUGCAUGGUGGGGGUUGGAAAGUUUCGGAGGUUGGGGAUGGACUCGCGGCUUAAUAGCAUGUGGGUGGGGUAGUGGGUUAGCAAGGCUUUGACGGGUAGACGGCCUGAGAGGGUGACCCGCCACAUUCGCCCUCAGAUACCACCCAUACUCCUACGGCAGGCAUGAGUGAGGAAUAGUGCACAAUGCGCCGAGUCCUGAUGCAGCAACUCCGCGUGGUGAAUGACGGUCUUCAGGUUGUAACCCGCGUUCGCCUGGGACGUAGCCUGAGUGACGGUAAUUGAUAAAAAAGCACCGGCUAACUACGUG